UGGGGAAUAUUGCACAAUGGGCGCAAGCCUGAUGCAGCCAUGCCGCGUGUGUGAAGAAGGCCUUCGGGUUGUAAAGCACUUUCAGCGGGGAGGAAGGCGAUAAGGUUAAUAACCUUGUCGAUUGACGUUACCCGCAGAAGAAGCACCGGCUAACUCCGUGCCAGCAGCCGCGGUAAUACGGAGGGUGCAAGCGUUAAUCGGAAUUACUGGGCGUAAAGCGCACGCAGGCGGUCUGUCAAGUCGGAUGUGAAAUCCCCGGGCUCAACCUGGGAACUGCAUUCGAAACUGGCAGGCGAGAGUCUUGUAGAGGGGGGUAGAAUUCCAGGUGUAGCGGUGAAAUGCGUAGAGAUCUGGAGGAAUACCGGUGGCGAAGGCGGCCCCCUGGACAAAGACUGACGCUCAGGUGCGAAAGCGUGGGGAGCAAACAGG
rnacentral:rRNA from 1 species